UCAGACCAAACACAACUCACAAAACCACUCACAACUUAUUCCCACUGAACAUUCAGUGACAACAUUUCACCUCUGUGAACAUGGACAGACUCACUGUGAUAUUCUUCUUCUCAGCUCUCGUAGGUAACAGCCUGGAAGAUGAUAUUACUGCCAGCAGUGCUGAGGUGUUUUCAUCAGAGGGCCGUACUGUUACUCUGUCCUGUAACUACUCAGGCUCUGUACGAAGUCUCUACUGGUAUCAACAGAAGUCCAGCUCAUCUCCACAGUUUCUCAUCGCAGAUUAUUCAGAGAACACACCAGGACUAUCUUUACAACAUGACAAGAAAACUAAAGAAUUUCAUCUGAACAUCUCCUCUGCUGCAGUGACUGACUCUGCUGUGUACUACUGUGCUCUGAGGCCCACAGUGACAGGAAACACCAAAACUCUGUACAAAAACCUUUGGAGCAAAGACAACACAAUACUCCACAACAUCCACUAGAGGGAGUCACACACUGUUACACUUCAAUGGUUUCUUAUG